GCCAUCAGUGCAGGUUUAGGGGGGCCAGGUACCCCAGUGCACUAGAGAGCUUCAACCAAUACCUCAAUGUCAUAGGCAAGUCAGACUAUGAACAUUUGGAGGCCAAUUCGUAUACCACUGAUUGGAGUUGUGCUAUAUAACCCCUAUGGGGUAUAGUUGCCUCAAGGAGUAUAUCCUGAAGGAAUAGGAUUCUUACCUCAUGUAUGGGAUGGUGGCUUACAUCAAGCUGACUCCGGUGCUUGCAAUGCAUAUUAUAAUCUAUUGUUCCAUCCAAACCCCCAUAAUCCAUCCUAGAUAUAUAUGUGCCAAACCAAAAUCAAAAUGAUCGAGGCUAAGCUCCACCGAAUCUGUCAUAGUUAACAGAGUUAAUCAAAGAGCAGCUUACUUGUUGGCUAAUCAGGAGGGUGAUUUAUAGGAAGCCUUAUCCUAACUAGUACAACCAAGCUUUCGAGUUUCCUUAUAGGUACAAAGUGCCAUAAUUUUCUAGAUUCUUAGGUGAUGAUGGAGUAACGACUGUGGAGCAUAUAGGAAGAUUCUCAGUACAAUAUGGACAGACUGGCAAUAACAAUUUUCUCAAAUUAAGGUUGCUCGCCAAUUCUCUUAUAGGUUCUACCUUUAUAUGGUAAAUCCAUAAAUCCACAAUCUAAUUCUAUACAUACUUGGCAAGAGUUAGAAAGUCAAUUUUAUGCCUAAUUCUAUAGAAUCGAACCUGAGGUUUGGGUAGCCG
rnacentral:lncRNA from 1 species